rnacentral:rRNA from 1 species
UGCGGGAAGAAGGCCUUCGGGUUGUAAACCGCUUUUGUCAGGGAAGAAAAGGUUCUGGCUAAUACCUGGGACUCAUGACGGUACCUGAAGAAUAAGCACCGGCUAACUACGUGCCAGCAGCCGCGGUAAUACGUAGGGUGCAAGCGUUAAUCGGAAUUACUGGGCGUAAAGCGUGCGCAGGCGGUUAUGCAAGACAGAGGUGAAAUCCCCGGGCUCAACCUGGGAACUGCCUUUGUGACUGCAUAGCUAGAGUGCGGCAGAGGGGGAUGGAAUUCCGCGUGUAGCAGUGAAAUGCGUAGAUAUGCGGAGGAACACCGAUGGCGAAGGCAAUCCCCUGGGCCUGCACUGACGCUCAUGCACGAAAGCGUGGGGAGCAAACAGGAUUAGAUACCCUGGUAGUCCACGCCCUAAACGA